ACGCUGGCGGCAGGCCUAACACAUGCAAGUCGAGCGGUAGCACAGAGAGCUUGCUCUCGGGUGACGAGCGGCGGACGGGUGAGUAAUGUCUGGGAAACUGCCUGAUGGAGGGGGAUAACUACUGGAAACGGUAGCUAAUACCGCAUAACGUCUUCGGACCAAAGUGGGGGACCUUCGGGCCUCAUGCCAUCAGAUGUGCCCAGAUGGGAUUAGCUAGCAGGUGAGGUAAUGGCUCACCUGGGCGACGAUCCCUAGCUGGUCUGAGAGGAUGACCAGCCACACUGGAACUGAGACACGGUCCAGACUCCUACGGGAGGCAGCAGUGGGGAAUAUUGCACAAUGGGCGCAAGCCUGAUGCAGCCAUGCCGCGUGUAUGAAGAAGGCCUUCGGGUUGUAAAGUACUUUCAGCGGGGAGGAAGGCAAUAAGGUUAAUAACCUUGUUGAUUGACGUUACCCGCAGAAGAAGCACCGGCUAACUCCGUGCCAGCAGCCGCGGUAAUACGGAGGGUGCAAGCGUUAAUCGGAAUUACUGGGCGUAAAGCGCACGCAGGCGGUCUGUCAAGUCGGAUGUGAAAUCCCCGGGCUCAACCUGGGAACUGCAUUCGAAACUGGCAGGCUAGAGUCUUGUAGAGGGGGGUAGAAUUCCAGGUGUAGCGGUGAAAUGCGUAGAGAUCUGGAGGAAUACCGGUGGCGAAGGCGGCCCCCUGGACAAAGACUGACGCUCAGGUGCGAAAGCGUGGGGAGCAAAC
rnacentral:rRNA from 1 species